UACGGAGGGUGCGAGCGUUGUCCGGAAUCAUUGGGCGUAAAGGGCGCGUAGGUGGCCCGGUCAGUUCGUGGUGAAAGCGCGGGGCUCAACCCUGCGUCGGCCAUGAAUACUGCCGCGGCUGGAGCACUGUAGAGGCAGGCGGAAUUCCGGGUGUAGCGGUGGAAUGCGUAGAGAUCCGGAAGAACACCGGUGGCGAAGGCGGCUAUCUGGAUCAACACUGACACUGAGGCACAAAAGCGUGGGUAGCAAACAGG
rnacentral:rRNA from 1 species